rnacentral:rRNA from 1 species
GAUGAACGCUGGCGGCGUGCCUAAUACAUGCAAGUCGAGCGAACAGACGAGGAGCUUGCUCCUCUGACGUUAGCGGCGGACGGGUGAGUAACACGUGGAUAACCUACCUAUAAGACUGGGAUAACUUCGGGAAACCGGAGCUAAUACCGGAUAAUAUAUUGAACCGCAUGGUUCAAUAGUGAAAGACGGUUUUGCUGUCACUUAUAGAUGGAUCCGCGCCGCAUUAGCUAGUUGGUAAGGUAACGGCUUACCAAGGCAACGAUGCGUAGCCGACCUGAGAGGGUGAUCGGCCACACUGGAACUGAGACACGGUCCAGACUCCUACGGGAGGCAGCAGUAGGGAAUCUUCCGCAAUGGGCGAAAGCCUGACGGAGCAGCGCCGCGUGAGUGAUGAAGGUCUUCGGAUCGUAAAACUCUGUAAUUAGGGAAGAACAAAUGUGUAAGUAACUAUGCACGUCUUGACGGUACCUAAUCAGAAAGCCACGGCUAACUACGUG